GUGAGGGGGCGGGGGCGGGGCCGGUCCCGGCUGCGCCGGGAGAUAAAAAAUGGGAGGAAGAAAUCUUCCAAAACCAGCCCUUUCCCUCAGGAGGAACAGCUGCUACGUUCCCUUACAACCAAGAACACAGCUCAAAAGGACUAGGCUAAUGCUCCAGUACUGAUCAGAGUCCAUCCUGCUCCAGGCAAGUGUGAUUUCCAUCCACUGCUCUCACACUGACAAUGGAUGACAUGAAAGCAUGGGCACUAAUGCUGCCUAGAACAUUCAGGAUUUAUUACUUUCCACUCUAGUGUUCUAAUUAGGUAGAAGCAGAAUCUACAGAGCUGGUUUGGUUUGGGGUUUUAUUGUGGAUGGUGGCAGGAGAAGGGGGGAGCAUCAAUGAUCAAAUUCCCUGAAUUCUCCAUUUUGAGUCAUCUUACAUCUUCCUGUUUUAUUGUAGCUGGGCACUGUAAUGGUCCCAGGAUAUCUGACAGCAGUGAUUUUGUGGUUUGCUUUAAUCCAUUAGUCUCUCAUACAUCAGACUGCUCUACCCCUUGUUCUAACCCCUCUAGUGCCUUUGAAAGCUUGAAAAAGAGUGAUUGUGCUCCUGUUCCAUUCGAUCUGGUGCGUGCCAAAACAGGUUGCCAGGCCGUGGAUUUUGUUGACUCUAGAAGUGAAGUGACAGAUAAAGGAGUCCAUAAAGUCUGCAGAAGCCCAGGGAAGACAGAAGGAGGGAUAUUGGCCAGAGAUAGAUAAAAUAAGAAUACAUCUCCUGCAGAAGCUGCAAACACGAGAUCUGGAAAUGCAUCAGAGGAAAAAAAAUCACAAGCAGAAUAAAUGUUUCUGUGGUCAGCUGAACUAACAAAGGCAGUUUUCUCAGAGCCUUGUUCCUUUCCUCCCCAGAAUGACUCUGGCACCAUUCACAGUCACUGUGAUACCCCAGCAGAGAGGGAGAGAUGGCUUGUGCCCCGUGGUUCAGCAGUUUGGCCUGUCUCUGUUUAGGGGGGACGUUUCUUUGAGCUGCUGUUGUCUACUCAGCUGAUGAUUUUAGAAAGUGUGUCCUGGCAUCACUAUGUUUGGGUGUGUUAUUCCACCAAUUUUCUCUGAAAAUGAACCUUCACGUAAACCUUCUUUCUUUAAAAAAGUAGGCUGAAACGAAAUUGUAGAGUGGUGUCACACUUAACUCAGCAUAGAAUAUAAUAAACCCCAGCAGAGAGAAAGCAAACUGUGAGUGAGCUAGAAGAAGCAGGAUUAACCAAUUGUCUGUGCAGUUUGAGAUGGUGUUGUUGGUGGUGUUGGACCCAGGCUGUGUUCAUCAGGCUCUCAGGGAAGUGGGCACAUUGGACAAAGCAAAGUUAGAUUACAGCCUGUCAGCUGUAAUCCAAACGUACUGCCUUGCCUCAGCUGCUGUCCCAGCAUCAGUGUCCCUUAGAGGACAGGACAGGUUUCAAGGGAUGUAUGCUUCUUCUGAAAAGAAGCAAAUUUCACCUCUCUGAGUGGUGAAAGUCACCGUGAGAAGCACAAUCUGCUGUGUGUACUCAGCCUGGGACAAAGCAAAUGCUUCUCAGUGUGCAUCAAUAGCUGCAUGCUGUGAAAUAUGAAAGUAAGUCAGCUUAUGGCCUUCUUUAGAGCUUACUUUAAAAGCUGCUUCUAAACUACAAGAUUCAUGUGAACAAAACAAGUCAGUGCCUCAGGAAGGCUCCUUAAGUGUCUGUGACAAGGAGCUGUAGCAUUAGGCAGGUAUGCAGAAACAUACAUUCAGACAUGCUGCAGUGAGCAUCUCCCUGACUGCACACCUCUGUGCCUGUGCCUAGUCUUGGUAAGGGAUGAAAGGCUACAGGGAGCCAAGAUCCUAGACUGCUCUUUUUAAAUAAUUUUUUUGGUGUUUAUGAUGGAGUCAUAAAAAUUAUUUUUUAUAAUAAAAACAUCUUUCUUGAUGUACUCACUCAGCCAUAACUGCAGAAGUAGUCUUCUUUUUCAGAUAACAAACUGAGACAUUGUAUAGCCUCAGAAAUAAUUGUAGGUCAUAUUUCCUGAAAACCCUAGUUUAGAGUGGUAUGAACUUAAAUUAUCAGAAAGUUAUAUUUUGAACUCGAUAUUUGUAAUCAAUUUUAUAUAAUUUAAUGCACUGAUAUAUUAAUGUAUUCCCAUUCACACAGUGAAGGUUCUUUUCUUACCAGAAGAAAAUUUUCAAGACCUCACACAGAAAGUAAUUUAGCGUGAAAAGCACUAACAAUUUCCCUUCCACAGCCGGCUGACCUAGCAGCUUUCCUUGGGGUUGCUCCACCCCUUCUUCAUUCUGGGGAAUAAUGGAAGUAAUGUUUACAGCUGCAGUGCUGGAGGCAGUACCUGUAUAUUUCUUUCACCAUGUAUUUUCUUUUACAUCCAGGAUAGUCUUCUAUUUCACCUUCACACCUCCUCCCGUCUUAAAUUGGAAACAGUCAUUCAUUUUUCAUUUUGUAGAUGAAAACUAGAGUAAAAGAGAAAGGCAAGAAACCAGAACUGUUCUUGUAUUUCACUGUGGAUCUUCCCCCUGGCUUUGCUGCUAAGUAAUGGUGUGACACCAUUAGUUGUGGGAGCAACGAAGUUUCUGUCAACUACUUUUUCAAGGAAAGCUCAAAAAUUACCCCCAAGGCAGAUGUGGCCAGGACAGAGCACGAGAGAUGGGGGGAGAAGCACAGGGCCAGAACUGGCACUCUGCCAUGCAGAGAGAGGGAAGUGGGAAGGUGGCAGUGUCCUACAUCUAACCCUACUCCUUGAGCUGUGAUACCUAAUGUUCAUUUCUGCUGUCAGCAUUUCAGGAGUUUAAUAUAUUCAACUUAAAAACUUUAAACAGUUUGUUACAUAAUGCCACAGAAUAGCUUUGUCCUACUGUUUUGGCUUGGACUGAACAAUGGCACGUUGCUGGGUGCAGAGCUCUGUGGAUUUCAUGAAAUUCAUGUCUUCUGACUAAUGCAGUGGGAGCCAGUGUUCACAGCAUUCCUCUGGGUGUGACUCCCCAGGAUAACUAGGUUUUAAGUUCAGAUCUCAUCACAUUUUCUUUAAACUGAUAUGUUUGUUCCAAGGACAGACCUUGUUUUGCUGAACUUGCUUUGGAAUUUCAGAAAUUUACUCCAGAUUGUUUCAGUUUAUGAACGUGUUUGUAUGCAUUCAGAGAGUGAAAGAAGCUACCAUUGAGACUGGAAAGGGUAACUGUUUUUGUUUUUGUUUGUUUGUGUUUAGAGGCUUGAAGACUAAGACUUUUCUUGGUAAACUUUCUUUCUAUUUUAGAUUUUAAAACAAAAAAAAUUGUUAAGAAAUUUUCAAUGUUGGCAGGCCUCUAAUUAUAAUAAAUAUGGCCCUCUCAAAACCAUAGAAAAUCACAGUUUCCAAAAACCCAACAGAAAAUAGGAUAGAUAGAGUCAGUAGCUACUGGAGGAAACGUUUUUAGACACUCAGAGUUUUAUUACAUCGAAAAGUUCUUUGCAUGUAACAUCUAAGAAAGGAAAAUUUUGGAUUUGUUUUGAUUUUUUAUUUGAUUAUCAUUCUCUGGAGCAAGAGUAAAUAAUUUUACAUGGGAGAGGAGAAAUCAGUAAGCAUGUUAAAUGACAUUGCAUUGCAGUUCAGCAGGGGUCCUGGUUUGGCAGUGGCUGCACUACAUCUCCUCAUGCUGCUCUGCACAGGUGUUUCUAACCAUGAUCUAGGAGUGUCUUCUUCCUUGGGAGGAAAUGUGGCUCAGUCUCAGCUGUGCAGGGGCAUACUGCACAGCUUGUGUUGUGCCAGCAAAGAUAACCAGUUUGUUUUCUGGGGUUUUCAACUGGUACUGGUCUCACUGAAUAAUACAGCUCCUCAGCCCAAUUCAAGGCAGAAGUGUGAUCUGUACAGAAAAGCAUACCAAAAGGCAUGAAGAUGCUUACUUAAAGAGUGCUACAACAAGAAAAGAAAAAUGUCCAGUUUUAUGAUGUGUCCGUGUGUAAAACCACUAUGAAGGGCUCAAACCCGAGGAUCUUUGAUCCCACAGGCAGAUGAGAGCUCACCACUGAACAUAUGGAGUAAGGCCGUGGCUGCCAGCAUAUUGCAGGAACUUGGACAGAAAUUGCAGCUCCUUGCUGGGUGUGAGACUGGUGACAUGCUAACCUGUUGCUGGAGGGAGCUCAGUGAGGGGAUUGAUUACCAUAAUUACCCACGAAGUCACUAGUGUACAAAAGUGUGGGAACCAGGUGAAGCCAGGUCUCAGAGGAGGUUAAAAGUGGUGCACUUGAAUCCAAAUGUACAGAGUGUGAAAUCACUGCCAUCUGAAUAGAACAAUGAAAAAGAAGCUUUGCUUUACCAGCCUGCACUUCAAAGGAAAAAAGAAAACCUGAGACGGCACCAAACAUGUCUCUCGGAAGUAAAGCUCCUGCUGUGCAAACUGAUGCCAGUCAGGCACCCAUCAGAAUCAGCUUCUCACUCUCAUCCGACAUCUGUGAAGAAAGAGCAGCAGCAUAACAGUGAUGCUUAAUCAGGAAGGAGGUCUGGUGACUAAUAUAAAUGAAUGGUCAGAGAAUGGAAAUGGCCUUGGGAUGGCAGGCAUGCCCAGCCAGGUAUAGCACAGGCUUUCUGUUUUACUGAAUAGUAAAAUCAAAUCAGAGAAGCUGCCUCUGGCUGGGCUCCAUGUAAAUAAAAGAAGGAAUGUGCUGUAUGCUGUUAAUUCAGAGUGAGAAAUCUAAACUAAGGCUGGACAAUGAUGGUUCCAAUGCAAGCACUGCUGGGACAAACUGUGGGUGACAUCCCAGGCUGCUUAAUCUACUGUGCUUCACAGAAUUAUGGGAAAGGAAGGAAAGAUGUGCAGCUGAAGUAAUCAUCAGAUUCCCUAUCUGCCACACCUGGAGUAUGAUCACCUCACUGACAAUCAAAUGUCCGCUAAGGAGCAGAUCAAAACAGUCUGUCUCAUCUUCAAAAACAAACAAGGACCCUUGUGAAGAAAAAACAUAGCAGCUAUGUGCAGGAAGAACAAAAUCAUCUAGAAAUAAUCUGAAGAGGUCAUCAAGCCUUGCUGUUUUUGCCAGUACAAAAUCAACUGUCAGUGGCAUUACAGAGACAAGAGAUGGUACAGUCUUACAGUGCUGUAGACAUCUACAAAACAGACAUUUAGACUUGAAUUGACUUUCUAGAGUCCUUCACAGCCCCUGAAGGAAAACAGGUACUUUUGCUGUGGAAUUUGUCUCCUUCCAAUGUACAGUGGGAAUGGGUCAAAUGAAUGACAUGCUGGAAAUGCCUGUUUCUCUCCUGAGGGAUUCAGUCUCAGAUGUACAUCCAAGGAAAGCUGCUCUUUGCCAACUCUAUUAUCAUUUGGUACAGCCAUUCUACUAAAGACUUUAAAAAAUAGCUAAGACAAAGAGUGAUUAUCACAUGGGUUACUUCCAAGUGAUUUCACGUUCAGGAAUGGACCUUUCUUUAAUAGCACAAAAUAACGGAAAGGAUUGGUCACUCUCUCUUUUGGAAAUCUGAGAUUAUUUUCACUUCUCAUCCAUGCAGCUGGAAGGUCAGGAAGCAAUCUUUAAAUAUUAAGAUUUGAGCACAAAUCGAGCCAACUUAUGACACUUAUUUUGGGACCUUGUUAUAGAAUUGCAGUUAUUUUUAAAAUGUAACUUUAAAAUGUUUUUCAGUAAGCCAGAAUUAUUUAUAAGAGUAAAUAUGCAUCAAAAGUGUGGUAUAAAUUUGAGCUGCUAUACAUUAUUUCUGUUUUGGCUAUAUGCUCCCCAUUAUGGUGCCUGCCUUCUGUUUCAGUUCUCAAGUGAGAAAGUCAGUACACAACUCUAGAUCUAGUUAUUUCUGUUACAAACACAUGGAAAAAGAAUUUGUGUGCUAUUUUAAAAUCUGAACCUAAGU